GACGAACGCUGGCGGCGUGCUUAACACAUGCAAGUCGAACGGAAAGGCCCUGCUUUUGUGGGGUGCUCGAGUGGCGAACGGGUGAGUAACACGUGAGUAACCUGCCCUUGACUUUGGGAUAACUUCAGGAAACUGGGGCUAAUACCGGAUAGGAGCUCCUGCUGCAUGGUGGGGGUUGGAAAGUGUCGGCGGUUGGGGAUGGACUCGCGGCUUAUCAGCUUGUUGGUGGGGUAGUGGCUUACCAAGGCUUUGACGGGUAGCCGGCCUGAGAGGGUGACCGGCCACAUUGGGACUGAGAUACGGCCCAGACGCCUACGGGAGGCAGCAGUGGGGAAUAUUGCGCAAUGGGCGGAAGCCUGAUGCAGCAACGCCGCGUGCGGGAUGACGGCCUUCGGGUUGUAAACCGCUUUCGCCUGUGACGAAGCGUUAGUGACGGUAAUGGGUAAAGAAGCACCGGCUAACUACGUG
rnacentral:rRNA from 1 species